GUGGGAGCCCCGUGAUUUUUUCUGCGACUCGUGCUACUGCAAGCACUGCUCUCCCAUGAGCGUGGUCACCGAUGACAAAACGGAAAAAAUUCUCUGAGCGACUACAGGCACUCCUACCCUGCGUCGUUCUCAUCUCGGCAUACCCCGACGAAGCAGUGGAAGCGAUGAGCUCGGAGUCGUCGCGUGGUUGAUAAAGUCCAAAACAAAACUCUGGAAAGCUUUAGCCCCAGCAGUGGCAGCAGCGGCAGCAGUAGCAGUAGCAGCAGCUCUAUAGGAAGUGAGUGGCUGCCAACGGUGGCAAUGCAAAAAACACCAAGUGCUAAAUACAAUUCACUGCGGCAGUGCCGCAAAUAGUGCGACGUCCCAAUCCACCACAGCUUUCUUUCUCGCAAGCACAUGGAAACGUUAUAACUUGGCUGGGUGGCUCGCUGGGACGUGUGGGAAUUGUCUUAUGUGCUGGUGCUGGUGCUGCUGCUGCUACUGCGAGCAAGAA